rnacentral:rRNA from 1 species
UACGAAGGUCCCGAGCGUUAUCCGGAUUUAUUGGGUUUAAAGGGUGCGUAGGCGGGUUAUUAAGUCAGUGGUGAAAGCCUUCAGCUCAACUGAAGAAUUGCCAUUGAUACUGAUGAUCUUGAGUACGAUUGAGGUAGGCGGAAUGUGUCAUGUAGCGGUGAAAUGCUUAGAUAUGACACAGAACACCGAUUGCGAAGGCAGCUUACUAAGUCGUAACUGACGCUGAUGCACGAAAGCGUGGGGAGCAAACAGG